rnacentral:rRNA from 1 species
GGAUCCAGACUUUGAUUCUGGCUCAGGACGAACGCUGGCGGCGCGCCUAACACAUGCAAGUCGAACGGAGUCAAGAGGAGCUUGCUUUUCUUGACUUAGUGGCGAACGGGUGAGUAACGCGUGAGUAACCUGCCCUGGAGUGGGGGACAACAGUUGGAAACGACUGCUAAUACCGCAUAAGCCCACGGCCCGGGCAUCGGGCUGCGGGAAAAGGGAUUUAUUCGCUUCAGGAUGGACUCGCGUCCAAUUAGCUAGUUGGUGAGGUAACGGCCCACCAAGGCGACGAUUGGUAGCCGGACUGAGAGGUUGAACGGCCACAUUGGGACUGAGACACGGCCCAGACUCCUACGGGAGGCAGCAGUGGGGGAUAUUGCACAAUGGGGGAAACCCUGAUGCAGCGACGCCGCGUGGAGGAAGAAGGUUUUCGGAUUGUAAACUCCUGUCGUUAGGGACGAUAAUGACGGUACCUAACAAGAAAGCACCGGCUAACUACGUGCCAGCAGCCGCGGUAAAACGUAGGGUGCAAGCGUUGUCCGGAAUUACUGGGUGUAAAGGGAGCGCAGGCGGACCGGCAAGUUGGAAGUGAAAACUAUGGGCUCAACCCAUAAAUUGCUUUCAAAACUGCUGGCCUUGAGUAGUGCAGAGGUAGGUGGAAUUCCCGGUGUAGCGGUGGAAUGCGUAGAUAUCGGGAGGAACACCAGUGGCGAAAGGCGACCUACUGGGCACCAACUGACGCUGAGGCUCGAAAGCAUGGGUAGCAAACAGGAUUAGAUACCCUGGGUAGUCCAUGCCGUAAACGAUGAUUACUAGGUGUUGGAGGAUUGACCCCUUCAGUGC